UUUGGCUGGCAGAACGGCCGGGCGGCCGCGGGUGCGACUGAAUUGCGAUGCGGGAGGGCGCAGACAGAGCCGCCUCCAUGUCCGCUCAGCCAGCGGUUCCUCGGGCCGCGGCAGCCACCGCAGAAGCCAAGCUCACCCACCCGGGCAAGGCGAUCCUGGCCGGUGGCAUUGCUGGUGGUAUUGAAAUCUGUAUCACGUUUCCCACAGAAUAUGUGAAAACACAGUUACAAUUGGAUGAAAGAGCAAAUCCCCCUCGGUAUAGAAGCAUUGGUCACUGUGUGAGGCUGACCAUUCAGGAGCAUGGUGUGAAGGGUCUGUACAGGGGCCUAAGUUCUUUGUUGUAUGGCUCUAUUCCAAAAUCUGCUGUCAGGUUUGGCAUGUUUGAGUUCCUCAGCAAUAUUGCAAAGGAUUCAAGUGGGAAACUAGACAACAAAAGGAGUUUGCUUUGUGGCCUUGGAGCUGGUGUUGCAGAAGCUGUCCUAGUAGUCUGUCCAAUGGAAACUAUAAAGGUGAAGUUCAUUCAUGAUCAGUCCUCUUUAAAUCCAAAGUACAAAGGGUUUUUCCAAGGUGUCCGUGAGAUUGUUCGGGAACAAGGUUUACGUGGAACAUAUCAGGGACUGACAGCUACAGUCCUCAAACAAGGCUCAAACCAGGCUAUCCGUUUCUUUGUGAUGACUUCCCUUCGAAAUUGGUAUCUAGGUGAUGAUCCCCACAGAAAGAUGAAUCCGCUUAUUACAGCUGCAUUUGGUGCUGCUGCAGGUGCAGCCAGUGUCUUUGGCAAUACUCCAUUAGAUGUCGUCAAAACCAGGAUGCAGGGCCUGGAAGCCCAUAAAUAUAAAAAUACACUAGAUUGUGCCUAUCAGAUCCUCAAAAAGGAGGGCUUAUUAGCAUUUUACAAAGGAACAGUUCCCCGUCUUGGCCGAGUCUGUUUGGAUGUAGCAAUUGUGUUUGUUAUUUAUGAAGAAGUGGUCAAUGUUCUCAACAAGUUGGAUGGUGCAGAAGGAAACCAUCUCAGAAAUUCAGUAGAAAAGUAAUCAUGCUUGGACAUCCUCUUCUCAUUCAGCAUCACUGCCAGUGUUCUCCUUAGAAACUCCACAUAACUACUGGAUGGAACAGAGGGAUGAAGCACCUAUCCAGCUAUUGAAGGCCAUCUGCACCUUCAUUAGCCUGGAUUUGGUCUUGACAGUGCUGAGUGUGCCAAAGCUUUGUUCCUGCUGUUUACUCUUGGGAAGAAAGAGAGGAAACAUCAUCUGAAGUUCCCACUGGCCUGCAAUAGAAGAAACAGCUGCGGGAGUCUGGAGGGAUGUAUCUGCAGACCUUUGCAGCUGGGAAACACAAUUAACUCAGCUCUGCCUUUAAUAGCAAGUGAACCUGUGCUCCGUGUGACACUGGGAGAGUUCUGUGGUCUAUAAUCGCCAGACAGCAUCUCUUGGUAGAUUUUCUUUUCUUGCUACCAUCUAUGGAACAAAAUAGUACUGAAUAUUUUUCAUGUCCUAGUUAAGAGACUUAGAGUAUGUCUGCACAGAGAUAAAAGACCGUGGCAUGGCUGCAGCUGACCUGGGCUCCAGCUUCAGGGCUACAAAUUGCUGCAUAGACCAUAGGGACUGUCCAUCUCUGCAGGGUCCUGCAGCUUGAGCUCCAGCCCAAGCCUGAACAUCUAGACAGCAGUUUUACAGAGUCCAAUCCCCAUGAGCUCAAGUCAGCUGACCAGGGCCAGCCGUAGGUUUUUUAUCCCUGUGUAGAUGUACCCCAAUAUAGACCAACCUAAAGGGUAUUUGUGCCAAUGUAGCUACACUAGUGCCACUACUAGUGUAAAUGUACUGCACUGAUAAAUACUGGGGCCUUGUCUACACUGUGUGUUAGUCUGCAUCUGUGGGGGGUAAAUUCUAGUGCACACUAACAUGUUACACAUUAACUGGCCUGUGUGGAGCCAGCUGGUGUGCAUUAAAAGUUCCCUAGUGCGUGUUAAUAUAGUACUGUUUGAAACAGGACUCAGCACUCACUAAGGAACGUUUAGUGUAGGUUAGCUUUCAGUCAGGGUGCAUGUGGGCCAGUUAGCAUAUAGCAUGCUGGUGUACACUACAAUUCACACCCCACCGAUGCGCACUAACAUAUUGUGUAGACAAGCCAUGCUGCAGCUUACUCCAGUUUCAAACCACACUAAGUUGCACUGGUGCAGCACAUCUACACUGAGAUUUGUGCCUGUCUAACUACACUGGUACAAAUCACUCCCCAGCAGAGAUGGGCCCUUAGACAAAUGUGUGUGUUAGCCUAGGGCUCUGUUGUUGACAUUUUAAUUGCUUUAAUUUACAAUGAUAAGAGUGUACAGACAUAACUUUCCUCCCUCCUAACAGUAUUUCACAAAGCAAAAUAAGUGUUGCUCUAAAUAGCAAUGGUAUUCCACUAAAACAAAAACAACGAAACAUGAGGGUCUGAGCGUUUGUUCCUUAGUCACCCAAAAACCAGGAGAAAUUCAGUUCAAGAAAACAGUCCAUUGCAGAAACGCAAGUACACAGAAUCAUGCUGUGUAUAUAUGUCAGAGGCAUACUGGUUCUAUACAUACUGUAAGCAUGCAUAGCAGGACCGGUAAAAGAGCUUUGGUACUGCAUUCCACUUUACUUGCUAUCUCCUAUGUUAACACCACAACUAGUGUCUGCUCAAAGACCACUCACAUGCAGCUUCUUGACCGAUGCAUGUUUUACAUUUUGUUUUGCCACUUAAUUUUGUGUUUAUUUCACAGAUCAACAUCAUUUUACAGCUAUAGAAAAAUAAAGACAUUGGCUGUGUCUUGCACAUACUUUGCCAUGACAGGCUCGCUGAGAGAUGGGUGGGAGGGGGAUAAAUCUCUCAUUGCAAGUGUCCUUGCAAUAGCCACUCUUGUUCCCUUGCAGGGGAUGCCAAAAGGCAGUUCUCCUACCUGCCGAGUUAGAGUACUGUAAAUGUGAGUUUGACUGAUUAGGCACCAUGGUAUCAUGACUCUUGGGACUGUUGUUUUGGUUCCUGGUUCCGUAUCCUAAACUUUUCAACUCAAAGGCAAAGAAUCCUUGACCUCCUAAGUUAAAGUUGGAGGAGCAGAUCCCGAGCUGCUGUAAAUCAGUGUAACACCAUUAAAGUUAACGGAGCUACGCCAAUUUACAGGAUCUGGCUGAGAGUAAUUUUUAAAGCGACCCAAUUUUCUAACAAUGGAAUAACAACUUCUUUUAAAUUCAGUUUGCUUGUAUUUUCCACUCCAUGUAAAUCACCUUGUACAACCCACCCUCCAGCUGUCUCAAGGAAAGUGCAUGUAUUCUGUCCUCUGCUACACUGAUAUCCAAUAGGCUGUCAACGGUUAUGAGUCAUAUGGUCUGAUCUAGUUACUUUGUCAUAGUUACUAGUAAUCCAUCUUAAGACCAUUUCUGUUUUUUUCCAAAUCUCAAUUAAUAAAAAUUUAUAAGGUUUAAGAGCUUUCUAGAUGGGUAUUUACAUGGAUUUAGAAAAGCCACCUGUCGGGAACAUGCAGUAAUAACUGUCAGCAGAAGUUGUAAAAGCUAUUUUAACUUAUUUCCCUCAAAGAACUAGAGGGAAACAUCUGAUAGACAACAGCCCAGGUUGACUUAAGCUACUGAAUGGAACCUGAAUGGAAGUUCUAUGGUGUGCAAAAGAAAGAUCAAGUUAAGUCUCCAGAAAGUGUUAAAGUGAAAACCAUGAAUUUCCAGACCUAAAUCAAGUGCAUCAGAACUUCUGGUUAGUGCACGUACCCACACUCUGAAGACCCAGUCCUGCCUCCCACGGAUGUCAGUAGCAAGACUGCCAUAGAUUGCUGUGGAAGCAGGACCCAGCUAUUAGAAGCUGCAGUGGUAAGUGCUUUAUAGAUAGUCUGGUGCUAAGCAUCAUGGGGGAGAUGCUCCUAAGUGCUGAAGGGGAGAUUUUCAAAUGGUACUGAUGCUCCUAAAUCCCUUGUGUACAUAAUGCUUUAACUCUGGGAUUAAUGUGGUUGAUAGGGAGAACUGGAGCGGGCAGGCAAGAAUCUGAGUGCAUGAAUCCAAAGACACAGAGCCCUGGAGUUUCUUUGCAACAAUUUACUGAUUACCAGUCAUCUGCUAAAAAUGCCUCUCUUGAUUCCUGAGCCUUUUGCUUUAUGUGAUGUCUUGUAAAGUCUUACUCCCCUUUUUUGGCAUUAUAAGUGUGAGCUUGUGAUGCAGGGGAUGAGAGAGAAAUGAUCACAGUCUUGUGAGACUUUAACUGGAUGCACUUCAGAGAGAUCUAAAAUGAU